GACUGCCAGUGACAAACYGGAGGAAGGUGGGGAUGACGUCAAGUCAUCAUGGCCCUUACGACCAGGGCUACACACGUGCUACAAUGGUCGGUACAAAGGGUAGCGACAUCGCGAGCUCAAGCUAAUCUCAAAAAGCCGUUCGCAGUCCGGAUCGCAGUCUGCAACUCGACUACAUGAAGUCGGAAUCGCUAGUAAUCGUGGAUCAGAAUGCCACGGUGAAUACGUUCCCGGGCCUUGUACACACCGCCCGUCA
rnacentral:rRNA from 1 species